rnacentral:rRNA from 1 species
UGGGGAAUAUUGCACAAUGGGCGCAAGCCUGAUGCAGCCAUGCCGCGUGUAUGAAGAAGGCCUUCGGGUUGUAAAGUACUUUCAGCGAGGAGGAAGGCGUUGUGGUUAAUAACCGCAGCGAUUGACGUUACUCGCAGAAGAAGCACCGGCUAACUCCGUGCCAGCAGCCGCGGUAAUACGGAGGGUGCAAGCGUUAAUCGGAAUUACUGGGUGUAAAGCGCACGCAGGCGGUCUGUCAAGUCGGAUGUGAAAUCCCCGGGCUCAACCUGGGAACUGCAUCUGAAACUGGCAGGCUAGAGUCUUGUAGAGGGGGGUAGAAUUCCAGGUGUAGCGGUGAAAUGCGUAGAGAUCUGGAGGAAUACCGGUGGCGAAGGCGGCCCCCUGGACAAAGACUGACGCUCAGGUGCGAAAGCGUGGGGAGCAAACA